UACUUGCAGAGGCUAGCAAUUUACAUCAAAUAGUUACAGUGAAAUUUACCACAGAUUACUAACAGCGAAGAUACAUCCCUUCAGGAUAUACUGAAAACAUUUGCCAUCUUUGAUAUGAAGCUUGUUCAGCUUUUGUUCACAAGCCCUCCGUGAAGAGAAAAGGUUCAUUCAUCACUAUUGUGGACUAAAGCAACAUAUCUGAUAACACUUUACUCCUGAUGCAAUGUAGGAUGAAGACAUUUUCUGGGAAAACUGGUACUUCUGUCAUCACUACAGCAGAAGAUGUUAAGAAGCAAGAAGAGAAGAAAAAGAAGAAUCUAUCUUGACUAUGUUAGGUAUAGCUGGAACAGUACUUAACCUCUUAGUGAUUGUUUUGGUCUACAUCCAUACCACACUCUGAAGGUCUCGUUCAAGGGACUGCAUUCAGGGCAAAACCUGGCUCUAACAAGAAAGAUUUAGAAACUAUCCUUUAAAAGCACACCUCCAGAAUAUUAAGACAUACAUCCCAGGGUAACUCCCUUGCUCUAAGAGCAAUUACUAUAUGAUGCUUCCAGUUUGAGGAAUAAAAUUAUAACAAAGCAAACAGGUAAAUUUUAACUUUACACAGAGGAAAAAAACAGGACAAAGCAAUGAAUAUGGACACUGAAGAUGGACUACUCCAAAACAUACAAGAUUUAGUAACGUAUACAAGACACAACAGCAAAAAUGCUACAACCAUUUUUCUAAGAGUACAUAUAAAAUACACAUUAAUUAAAAUAAAACUGCAUUUAGGUUUGUGUUUUCCUUAAGCCUCUAGUAAUCUACUGAAUACAGGAAAGGGAAAUUUAGUC
rnacentral:lncRNA from 1 species